AUCAUAAAUAUUUUCUCUCAUAUAAUAGCGAGAAUAUGGCUCGCAAGUUUCUACCAAGUUACCGUAAAUGACUUGACUAUGAGUGAGCAAUAUUU
rnacentral:ncRNA from 1 species